ensembl:snoRNA SNORA70 Small nucleolar RNA SNORA70
CUGAAUGACUGUCCAUUUUAAAACACCAUCUCUCAAGGGGGCCCAGUGUGCAACAGCUGCAAACAGCAGCCUUCUCAGUAGUGUACGCAGCCUGUUGCCCAUACAGGUUGCCUUAAGGGACCUUGAAGAUAGAU